rnacentral:rRNA from 1 species
GGUUAAGCGACUAAGCGUACACGGUGGAUGCCCUGGCAGUCAGAGGCGAUGAAGGACGUGCUAAUCUGCGAUAAGCGUCGGUAAGGUGAUAUGAACCGUUAUAACCGGCGAUUUCCGAAUGGGGAAACCCAGUGUGUUUCGACACACUAUCAUUAACUGAAUCCAUAGGUUAAUGAGGCGAACCGGGGGAACUGAAACAUCUAAGUACCCCGAGGAAAAGAAAUCAACCGAGAUUCCCCCAGUAGCGGCGAGCGAACGGGGAGCAGCCCAGAGCCUGAAUCAGUAUGUGUGUUAGUGGAAGCGUCUGGAAAGGCGCGCGAUACAGGGUGACAGCCCCGUACACAAAAAUGCACAUGCUGUGAGCUCGAUGAGUAGGGCGGGACACGUGGUAUCCUGUCUGAAUAUGGGGGGACCAUCCUCCAAGGCUAAAUACUCCUGACUGACCGAUAGUGAACCAGUACCGUGAGGGAAAGGCGAAAAGAACCCCGGCGAGGGGAGUGAAAAAGAACCUGAAACCGUGUACGUACAAGCAGUGGGAGCACGCUUAGGCGUGUGACUGCGUACCUUUUGUAUAAUGGGUCAGCGACUUAUAUUCUGUAGCAAGGUUAACCGAAUAGGGGAGCCGAAGGGAAACCGAGUCUUAACUGGGCGUUAAGUUGCAGGGUAUAGACCCGAAACCCGGUGAUCUAGCCAUGGGCAGGUUGAAGGUUGGGUAACACUAACUGGAGGACCGAACCGACUAAUGUUGAAAAAUUAGCGGAUGACUUGUGGCUGGGGGUGAAAGGCCAAUCAAACCGGGAGAUAGCUGGUUCUCCCCGAAAGCUAUUUAGGUAGCGCCUCGUGAAUUCAUCUCCGGGGGUAGAGCACUGUUUCGGCAAGGGGGUCAUCCCGACUUACCAACCCGAUGCAAACUGCGAAUACCGGAGAAUGUUAUCACGGGAGACACACGGCGGGUGCUAACGUCCGUCGUGAAGAGGGAAACAACCCAGACCGCCAGCUAAGGUCCCAAAGUCAUGGUUAAGUGGGAAACGAUGUGGGAAGGCCCAGACAGCCAGGAUGUUGGCUUAGAAGCAGCCAUCAUUUAAAGAAAGCGUAAUAGCUCACUGGUCGAGUCGGCCUGCGCGGAAGAUGUAACGGGGCUAAACCAUGCACCGAAGCUGCGGCAGCGACGCUGAUGCGUUGUUGGGUAGGGGAGCGUUCUGUAAGCCUGCGAAGGUGUGCUGUGAGGCAUGCUGGAGGUAUCAGAAGUGCGAAUGCUGACAUAAGUAACGAUAAAGCGGGUGAAAAGCCCGCUCGCCGGAAGACCAAGGGUUCCUGUCCAACGUUAAUCGGGGCAGGGUGAGUCGACCCCUAAGGCGAGGCCGAAAGGCGUAGUCGAUGGGAAACAGGUUAAUAUUCCUGUACUUGGUGUUACUGCGAAGGGGGGACGGAGAAGGCUAUGUUGGCCGGGCGACGGUUGUCCCGGUUUAAGCGUGUAGGCUGGUUUUCCAGGCAAAUCCGGAAAACUAAGGCUGAGGCGUGAUGACGAGGUACUACGGUGCUGAAGCAACAAAUGCCCUGCUUCCAGGAAAAGCCUCUAAGCAUCAGGUAACAUCAAAUCGUACCCCAAACCGACACAGGUGGUCAGGUAGAGAAUACCAAGGCGCUUGAGAGAACUCGGGUGAAGGAACUAGGCAAAAUGGUGCCGUAACUUCGGGAGAAGGCACGCUGAUAUGUAGGUGAAGUCCCUCGCGGAUGGAGCUGAAAUCAGUCGAAGAUACCAGCUGGCUGCAACUGUUUAUUAAAAACACAGCACUGUGCAAACACGAAAGUGGACGUAUACGGUGUGACGCCUGCCCGGUGCCGGAAGGUUAAUUGAUGGGGUCAGCGCAAGCGAAGCUCUUGAUCGAAGCCCCGGUAAACGGCGGCCGUAACUAUAACGGUCCUAAGGUAGCGAAAUUCCUUGUCGGGUAAGUUCCGACCUGCACGAAUGGCGUAAUGAUGGCCAGGCUGUCUCCACCCGAGACUCAGUGAAAUUGAACUCGCUGUGAAGAUGCAGUGUACCCGCGGCAAGACGGAAAGACCCCGUGAACCUUUACUAUAGCUUGACACUGAACAUUGAGCCUUGAUGUGUAGGAUAGGUGGGAGGCUUUGAAGUGUGGACGCCAGUCUGCAUGGAGCCGACCUUGAAAUACCACCCUUUAAUGUUUGAUGUUCUAACGUGGACCCGUGAUCCGGGUUGCGGACAGUGUCUGGUGGGUAGUUUGACUGGGGCGGUCUCCUCCUAAAGAGUAACGGAGGAGCACGAAGGUUGGCUAAUCCUGGUCGGACAUCAGGAGGUUAGUGCAAUGGCAUAAGCCAGCUUGACUGCGAGCGUGACGGCGCGAGCAGGUGCGAAAGCAGGUCAUAGUGAUCCGGUGGUUCUGAAUGGAAGGGCCAUCGCUCAACGGAUAAAAGGUACUCCGGGGAUAACAGGCUGAUACCGCCCAAGAGUUCAUAUCGACGGCGGUGUUUGGCACCUCGAUGUCGGCUCAUCACAUCCUGGGGCUGAAGUAGGUCCCAAGGGUAUGGCUGUUCGCCAUUUAAAGUGGUACGCGAGCUGGGUUUAGAACGUCGUGAGACAGUUCGGUCCCUAUCUGCCGUGGGCGCUGGAGAACUGAGGGGGGCUGCUCCUAGUACGAGAGGACCGGAGUGGACGCAUCACUGGUGUUCGGGUUGUCAUGCCAAUGGCACUGCCCGGUAGCUAAAUGCGGAAGAGAUAAGUGCUGAAAGCAUCUAAGCACGAAACUUGCCCCGAGAUGAGUUCUCCCUGACUCCUUGAGAGUCCUGAAGGAACGUUGAAGACGACGACGUUGAUAGGCCGGGUGUGUAAGCGCAGCGAUGCGUUGAGCUAACCGGUACUAAUGAACCGUGAGGCUUAACCUUACAACGCCGAAG